GACGAACGCUGGCGGCGUGCCUAAUACAUGCAAGUAGAACGCUGAAGAAAGGAGCUUGCUUCUUUUGGAUGAGUUGCGAACGGGUGAGUAACGCGUAGGUAACCUGCCUUGUAGCGGGGGAUAACUAUUGGAAACGAUAGCUAAUACCGCAUAACAGCUUUUGACACAUGUUAGAAGCUUGAAAGAUGCAAUUGCAUCACUACGAGAUGGACCUGCGUUGUAUUAGCUAGUAGGUAGGGUAACGGCCUACCUAGGCGACGAUACAUAGCCGACCUGAGAGGGUGAUCGGCCACACUGGGACUGAGACACGGCCCAGACUCCUACGGGAGGCAGCAGUAGGGAAUCUUCGGCAAUGGGGGCAACCCUGACCGAGCAACGCCGCGUGAGUGAAGAAGGUCUUCGGAUU
rnacentral:rRNA from 1 species